UUUCUUUUGUUAUAAUUUUGUUACAUUCUUUGACUAGUGUUUUUAAAUGAAAUCGCGAAAGUAAGUGCAUCAACACGGCCAAGAACGUGAAUUCUCAAUCGCUCCACACGAACAAUCACUGGAAUAAUAAUGCACAGGUGUUUGAAUUUGUGAGGGUUCGGCACUCUCCGUUUAAAGAGAGUUGCCUAUAUUCACUAAUGAUCCUUCCGCAGGUUCACCUACGGAAA
rnacentral:misc_RNA from 1 species